rnacentral:rRNA from 1 species
UACAGGGGGCCCGAGCGUUAAUCGGAAUCACUGGGCUUAAAGGGUGCGUAGGCGGAUCAGGAAGUGUUUCGUGAAAACCCCCGGCUCAACCGGGGGAACUGCGGGGCAAACUCCUGAUCUUGAGGGAAGUAUGGGCGGACAGAACUAUCGGUGGAGCGGUGAAAUGCGUAGAUAUCGAUAGGAAUGCCGAUGGCGAAGGCGGUCCGCUGGGCUUCUCCUGACGCUCAGGCACGAAAGCGUGGGGAGCAAACAGG